CAUUAGGAGCACCGGAGGACACAGAGGCACAUGAUUUUUUUUCAGAUUACCUGUCUCAUGCACUGUCAGGAUAUAGUGACCGUUUUAUAAAAAUAACUUUUUUUAAUCAUAUUUGCUCCAACCUCGCCUACAUCAGCAUUAAAUCCCAGCAUCAUCUUGAUUAAUUCAAAUCAUAUCUGGCUUUACAUCCUCGAGUUGAUACAGAUACCCAACAGGUAGCAGCUUCACAAUCUGAUUCACUUCAUUGUCAUUCUAAGCUAAUGUGAGCAGAGGUACAUGUGUCCUCCUUCAAUUUGCACUAUCCAAAAAAAGGACUAAGCUUGGAAAAGCAAUAGUGGUGCCUGAGGAAGAGGACACUUCCCAGAAGGUGACAAUCCUGUAGACACACAGCAUACUGUAGGAAUCCUUUCCACCAACGCCACAUGAAGAAGACAUUCAGAUUAACUUUUCCACCUGGGGUUCCUGCGCUCCGGGAUUGAUCGACUGGUCGUGCCAAAGGUUUGGCAGCUGGCUUUUUAUCUCUUUGUGUUAUGGUUUUGCUACCACCCCAUUACCCAGAAUCCUAUGUGAGCGAUUAAUCACGUCUGAGGAGGAGAAACUUUCAGUCCCAUCACACGCUGAUGUAUGACAGUGAGAGUGAUUGCAUCUUUACAUGCUGCCUAAAAGAAAACGUUGAAUGAACCAAAGUGCAUGUUUAUUUUUCCUCAUUAUGAGAGAAGACAGGAGGAAAACAACGAGCACAUUGAGACAGGAUCGAUGAUGAAUUAACAUCUUGAAAGACAGAAUGAGUCGUCAGAGCAUGAGAGGAAAACUGAGUCAGGCAAAGUCAAUGAGACAAGGUGACACAAGGUGAGACGAGGUGACACAAGGCGAGACGUGAAGAAGAGAGGCUUGGAAAUCCUGUUUUUAUAUCGACUUAAGACACACAUGCCUGAAGUGAUGACGUUGUUGUUUUAUACCAUGGCCUUUAGACAACGCCCUUGUGUCACUCUUUGUUUCCUAAUGAGUCACAUUAGUUUAAGUUAUUUGUUUAGCAAAGAGGUGCCAGAGAUUUAUCAGCUGAUGUUUUUUUUGUUUUGUUUUUAAAUCUCAAGAAGAAUAUUUUAAAACUAUUUUGUGUGAUGUUUCUGUCCGUUAUGGAUUUUUCUUUUGUGACGUUAGCUCUGUGGACAGGAGUCAGAUUAAUGAAACUUCAUCAGUGACAGUAUUAUGAAAGGCUUUUGUGUAAUUGUGUGUUCAGAAAUUUGUCUCAUUUUAGGAUUUGUAACCGUCGACAGAUCUAGAGCUGAGCUGAAAACCUUUUUUUUUUUUUUUUUUUUUACAGUGAUAUUUAUUGUGUUAAAACAGAAAUUAACUUGCCUGCUUCACCCCACUGGUGUGAGUCGUCUGGUCACGGCAUUAUGAGCAUUUCUUUAUUUAUUUCAAAUGUUGACAUAUUAAAAUGUCUGUGGAAACGCC